GAUCAUUCUGGAGCCGCUAAUGGGUUGUAGAAACAGUGACGGUGGCGUCCUUCGAAGUUAUACGUGUCGUGUGGGAUUGGUUUCCGUGGGAUUUUAUUAUUUUCUGUUAUUUUUGUAUUUUAAUUUUCCCUCUCCGCUGGUUUGAUCGGUCUUGUGUAGUGGCGUGUGGUCGCUGGAUUAGUUUACUCGGAGGGGUUGUGAAUAUGUUAUAAGAGCAGUGAUGGGGGAUGUGUAGGAUAGUAGCGAAAUACGCUGGUCACGUAGAUGAGGUCUCUGCCGGUACGAGUGUCGGCCACGAGGGUUACUUCCUUCAAGGAGCAAUUGAAGCAAGCUCACAUAGCCUUGAAUAAGAAAGUAAUGAAAAUUCCCCCUGUUUUCACUUUCUCCAAGCCUUUGCCAACUCCACUUCUGACAUGGACAUUUCGAAGAGAAUGGCGUCGCCUUCCGCAAUUUGCCUCAGUAGAAGUGUCUACCGAAUCAAGCGUGGCAUCUACAUCGGUUACCUCCUCUCUACAAUCACCGCCGACAUCUUCGCAUAGAUGGAGUUCCCGAGGCUUGAAAGGAUUGUCGACUGCUCCUAGAGGUGGUGCAGCUAUGGUUGAUGAGCUUUGUUCCAUUGAAGACAUCAAGGCGAGGAAAGGACACGUUAUAGUUCGGAGCUUGAAUCUUAGACACUGGAGCUUAUUCUCUGCAAUUACAGCCAUUGCUGUACGCGGCCUAUAUUGGAUUGACACUUUAUGUCAAAGAACAGGAGAAUAUUUGAGAACAAGAGAACGACUGAAGUCGUGGGUUGAGGUUGUGACAUAUUGGGCUUACGUUGCCUGCUUACUCUGCAGUUGGCUCUCCAUUGCGUCACUUCUACAUUAUCAAGUGCAGCGGUGGGAGUUCCGUAGCAUGAUUCUUGCCGGUCCACAUGAAGUCUCCGAUGGAACAUUCGAUCCCGGCGGCAGCUUCUGGUACUUCUUGUGUCCCAACACAGGGCAAGGGUGUCACUUAUACCUCACGACGACUUAGUGGGUCAGCUUUUUGAUAUCGGCUUGCAUUUAUCAGCUUCUGGCAACGGCAAAGUAACAUGUAAAUCGAGAGCAUUCUCACAGACAAGACGUCUCAGCCCAGCCAUUUCUCACGACCGACAAUUUGCUCACAGCACCAGCAGGACUUCAUUCUAUUCUCACAAGAAGGUGCUUUUCUCACUAGAUGAUCCCAUCGCUAUCAACCAAAACCAGUAUCUUUUGAAAAGCGACCGACAUGUUUAGAGUAGCUACCGACCAUUUCUGAUGUCGGUCGAUGUUUCUCUUUUUUCCCUCUUCUCCCAUGAUAUGCCUCUGUUUCUAAACACUAAGUUGUGGAUCCUGUUCAAAUGAUUAAUGGACUUUCUUACAUUCAAUUGUAUCAAUUAUUUGGGAUUGUUUGAA